UGGGAAUUUUGGACAAUGGGCGCAAGCCUGAUCCAGCAAUGCCGCGUGCAGGAUAAAGGCCUUCGGGUUGUAAACUGCUUUUGUACGGAGCGAAAAGGUCUGCCCUAAUACGGUGGGCUCAUGACGGUACCGUAAGAAUAAGCACCGGCUAACUACGUGCCAGCAGCCGCGGUAAUACGUAGGGUGCAAGCGUUAAUCGGAAUUACUGGGCGUAAAGCGUGCGCAGGCGGUUAUGUAAGACAGAUGUGAAAUCCCCGGGCUCAACCUGGGACCUGCAUUUGUGACUGCAUAGCUAGAGUACGGCAGAGAGGGAUGGAAUUCCGCGUGUAGCAGUGAAAUGCGUAGAUAUGCGGAGGAACACCGAUGGCGAAGGCAAUCCCCUGGGCCUGCACUGACGCUCAUGCACGAAAGCGUGGGGAGCAAAC
rnacentral:rRNA from 1 species